rnacentral:rRNA from 2 species
GACUAUUGGGCUCUAAAAUAUGCACACAUCGCCCGUCGCUCUCGUGAUAAAUGAGAUAAGUCGUAACAUAGUAGAUGUAUUGGAAAAUGUAUCUAGAAAGUCA